CGACGCUUUUAGGUGACGAAAGCAAUUUUCGUCGCUGGAAAGCGUUGAGAAGACCAGCACAUGUCAAGCACGUGAAUUGUUAAUACCUCACAACUAAGCCCACGUUUCAAUUUUAAGCGGAAAAUAAACCAACAAAAAAAAAUUCAGACUACUCAGUUCUCAACCCUAACUUUUCCGCCCUCUUCGUGAUAUUUAUGGAAUCUUAAUCCAGAUCUUAAUUCUCCCUGCAAUCCCCCUAAUGCUUGAUAAAAUUUCUCUACUUAAUUUUGUCACUCUCUAUACCGCUGUUGUUUCAAAGGAUGUAUAAGGGACUGUGAGUAAGAGGAUUUGAAGGAGUUUAUUCUCCACUUGAUGCUUUUGUGCUAAUUUGGUGCCUACUUGAUAUCUCUGUUGCUCUUGUCUUCCUGGCAUAGCAACCGUGUUGGCAGCCUCAUGGCAGGUGGCUGAGAAACGAAUAGGUUGGAGCUGCAGGAAUGGACUUGUUUUAAGGUAUAGUAGAUGGUGCAAAUAUGAGGAAUCCGGAGAACAUGGAAAAAGGAAGGGCUAGAAUUAAAAAACAUCAUUGACAUUUUUGGUUUUGAUCUCAUUGUUUUCAUCAUCAUCGUCAUAAUUCAGCGAAGGCUAACUCGACGUGUACGUUCAUAUGUAGUGUCUGAUAAAGCCACCAAUUAAAGACAUUACUAGGCCAAUCAACCUAAAGCUGCACAUAUGUGUGAUAAUUGACCACCAGGUAAUUGAAAUCUGGUAAUUGAAUUUGCAGGUAAUUGAAAUCUGGUAAUUGAAUCUGCACAUAUGUGUGAUUAUUAAUCCUAUACAGCUCUAGGAUUUUGCUUAGACAACGACAAGCUCACCUAUUCGUGGUCAAACCAGAUUUCUGAAAAAUUGACGUUGAUAGAGCAAUACAAACUGGAUAGAGAGAGGCAACAGAAGUUAGAAGAGGAGGAAGAAAUAAGAAUAUUAAGAAAGGAACUCAUUCCGAAUGCUCAGCCCAUGCCUUACUUUGACAGGCCUUUCGUCUCCUAUUCAUUACCCCUGAUGUAGGGUGCAAACUUCAAAGGUUAAUCAUCUUAUCAGUCAUGGUUGGCCAGUGGUGGAGGCUUGUCACACUGAUGUUUCUGGUAUAAGAUUAGUUAUACAUAGAAUGUAUUUGUACUUUCUUUUAUUAUUCUAUCUUAGACAAAAAAAAUGUCAGAAUAUCUUGGUAAAAAAAUGUCAGAAUAUCUUGGUUUUUGGCACUGUAUUGUACAUAUACCAAGUUGUACUCUUCAUUAAUUAUGAAUAAAUUGAAUUUGA